AGGACGAACGCUGGCGGCGUGCCUAACACAUGCAAGUCGAACGCGCUCCAUUCGGUAGCAAUACUGAUGAAGAGCGAGUGGCGAACGGGUGAGUAGCACGUGAGCAACCUGCCCCGAAGACUGGGACAACACCGGGAAACCGGUGCUAAUACCGGAUAUCCCUAUCGGACCGCAUGAUCUGAUAAGGAAAUGGAUUCCGCUUCGGGAGGGGCUCGCGGCCUAUCAGCUAGUUGGUGGGGUAACGGCCCACCAAGGCAUCGACGGGUAGCUGGUCUGAGAGGACGAUCAGCCACACUGGGACUGAGACACGGCCCAGACUCCUACGGGAGGCAGCAGUGGGGAAUCUUGCGCAAUGGGCGAAAGCCUGACGCAGCAACGCCGCGUGGAGGACGAAGGCUUUCUGAGUUGUAAACUCCUUUCAGCAGGGACGAUAGUGACGGUACCUGCAGAGAGCACCGGCCAACUACGUGCCAGCAGCCG
rnacentral:rRNA from 1 species